rnacentral:rRNA from 1 species
CCUAAGGCGAGGCUGAAAAGCGUAGUCGAUGGGAAACAGGUUAAUAUUCCUGUACUUGGUGUUACUGCGAAGGGGGGACGGAGAAGGCUAGGCUAGCCGGGCGACGGUUGUCCCGGUUUAAGCGUGUAGGGGGUGUGACCUGGUAAAUCCGGUUACAUAUCAACCCUGAGGCGUGAUGACGAUGCACUACGGUGCAGAAGUAGUUGAUGCCCUGCUUCCAGGAAAAGCCUCUAAGCUCUAGGUAACAUUGAAUCGUACCCCAAACCGACACAGGUGGUCAGGUAGAGAAUACCAAGGCGCUUGAGAGAACUCGGGUGAAGGAACUAGGCAAAAUGGUGCCGUAACUUCGGGAGAAGGCACGCUGGCAUGUAGGUGAAGUCCCUUGCGGAUGGA